rnacentral:rRNA from 1 species
UACAGGGGGUGCAAACGUUGCUCGGAAUCAUUGGGCGUAAAGCGCACGUAGGCGGUUCGUUAUGUCGGAUGUGAAAGCCCUUGGCUUAACCGAGGAAGUGCAUCCGAAACUGGCGAGCUAGAGUACGAAAGAGGAUCGCGGAAUUCCCGGUGUAGAGGUGAAAUUCGUAGAUAUUGGGAAGAACACCGGUGGCGAAGGCGGCUAUCUGGACUGUGAUUGACGCUGAGGCGCGAAAGCGUGGGGAGCAAACAGG